rnacentral:rRNA from 1 species
GGACUACCCGGGUAUCUAAUCCGUUUUGCUCCCCACGCUUUCGUGCCUCAAUGUCAGUAGCAGAAUAGUUAACUGCCUUCGCCGUUAUUGGUGUUCAUCCAUAUAUCUUUGCAUUUUACCGCUCCACAUGGAGUUCCGUUAACCUCUCCUGCACUCGAGCCGAGCAGUAUUACCAGCUUCCACGAGGUUAGGCCUCGAUUUUCCACUGCCAACUUGCCCGGCCAUCUACGCACCCUUUACGCCCAAUAAUUCCGGAUAACGUUCGCCACCUACGUCUUACCGCGGCGGCUGGCAC